rnacentral:tRNA from 1 species
GGGGCCGGAAGGGUAGCUGGUGCGCUCCUCGGUCUUCAAAACCGCGUGAGAGGCGCGUGUCGUCUCUGGUGGGUUCGAUUCCCACACGGUCCCGCCA